GUGGGGAAUUUUGGACAAUGGGCGCAAGCCUGAUCCAGCAAUGCCGCGUGCAGGAAGAAGGCCUUCGGGUUGUAAACUGCUUUUGUACGGAACGAAACGGUCCGGGUUAAUACCCUGGGCUAAUGACGGUACCGUAAGAAUAAGCACCGGCUAACUACGUGCCAGCAGCCGCGGUAAUACGUAGGGUGCAAGCGUUAAUCGGAAUUACUGGGCGUAAAGCGUGCGCAGGCGGUUUUGUAAGACAGGCGUGAAAUCCCCGGGCUCAACCUUGGAAUUGCGCUUGUGACUGCAAGGCUGGAGUGUGGCAGAGGGGGAUGGAAUUCCGCGUGUAGCAGUGAAAUGCGUAGAUAUGCGGAGGAACACCGAUGGCGAAGGCAAUCCCCUGGGCCUGCACUGACGCUCAUGCACGAAAGCGUGGGGAGCAAACAGGAUUAGAAACCCUAGUAGUCC
rnacentral:rRNA from 1 species